rnacentral:rRNA from 1 species
UACGUAGGGGGCGAGCGUUGUCCGGAAUCAUUGGGCGUAAAGCGCGUGUAGGCGGCCCGGUAAGUCCGCUGUGAAAGUCCAGGGCUCAACCCUGGGAUGCCGGUGGAUACUGUCGGGCUCGAGUCCGGAAGAGGCGAGUGGAAUUCCUGGUGUAGCGGUGAAAUGCGCAGAUAUCAGGAGGAACACCAAUGGCGAAGGCAGCUCGCUGGGACGUGACUGACGCUGAGACGCGAAAUCGUGGGGAGCAAACAGG